rnacentral:rRNA from 1 species
AGUGAACGCUGGCGGUAGGCCUAACACAUGCAAGUCGAACGGCAGCACUGUAAGAGCUUGCUCUUACGGGUGGCGAGUGGCGGACGGGUGAGGAAUACAUCGGAAUCUACUUUUUCGUGGGGGAUAACGUAGGGAAACUUACGCUAAUACCGCAUACGACCUACGGGUGAAAGCAGGGGAUCUUCGGACCUUGCGCGAUUGAAUGAGCCGAUGUCGGAUUAGCUAGAUGGCGGGGUAAAGGCCCACCAAGGCGACGAUCCGUAGCUGGUCUGAGAGGAUGAUCAGCCACACUGGAACUGAGACACGGUCCAGACUCCUACGGGAGGCAGCAGUGGGGAAUAUUGGACAAUGGGCGCAAGCCUGAUCCAGCCAUACCGCGUGGGUGAAGAAGGCCUUCGGGUUGUAAAGCCCUUUUGUUGGGAAAGAAAAGCAGCAGGUUAAUACCCCGCUGUUCUGACGGUACCCAAAGAAUAAGCACCGGCUAACUUCGUG